UUUUUUUUUUCUGAUCCCUUUUUUUAUGAUACCAACACAUACACUUCAAUUUAUUUGACUUGUAUGUAAUAGCAAAUUUUCAACAUUUAUUUUAUGCUUCUCACUAAAACCAGGUCUUUAAUUCUCCUAUGAAGUGAGCUCUCCCCUGAUAACACCGAGACCUACUACAAAUUAAUUCAGCAUUUUCUGAACAAAUAAUUGCUCUUCUGUUUACUAGUGUUCUAUUUCUCCCUAAUGACUGUAUACAGGAUUGCUUUAUCAACAUUGUAAAUUAAUCCUUGUUUGCAUCAUGGCAUGCUCUAGAAACAGCAAAGCACUUCUUAAAUUGUCAAGGAAAUUAUGGUAAAUUAUUUUUUUUCAAAUUUACUGUAUACAUUUAAAAUGGAAGCAAAAUGCUAUCAUAUAGUUAUUUUUGCAAUAUUUAUAUUGAACAGAAUCAUGUUAUCAGGGAAAACCUAGGAAAUUAUGUUUCUCAUGAUGAUAUUUUCAUUAUUCAUUACUCAGUCAGGAUUUUGGUGAAUAUAAUAUAUGAUAUAAUAUUCUUUCAAGAUUUUGGUGGAUAUAAUAAUAUAAUAUUUGUUUUAUUUUCCUUUAAUUAUAGUUAAGUGUAAUGCUAUGAAAUGAAAUGAGAUAGUCAGAAUGGAAGCCACAAAUUAGAGUUUUUAUUUCAUCAACAUAGAAGAACAGAUACACAGAAUGAAUGGUCAUUCAACAUGAAACUACAAAUUAAGGACUGAAAUAUACUUUUAAAAUAUAUCACUGAAUUUACUCAUGAAGGAGAACCAUAAUGAGAUUUUGUAAUGAGGAAAAAAUAAUAAGUGAAAAAUAGAGAGGGUGGCUAUACAUAAUGAUUAAAAUUUUAAUUUAUUAGAAGGAUACAACAUUUCUAAAAGUGUAUGCAUUUAAUAUUAUAGUCUAAAAAUAGAGCUUAAAUAGAAACAUAAAAUCAUAUACAAAAAUAAUUAUAUUAUCUGGAAUUUAGUACACUCUCCUGUCAAUUAUUCGAGCAAAAAAAAAAAUCUUCCUUUAGAAAAAAGUCAACAAAAAUAUAGCAAAUCAAAAUAGAAAAUAGUACCAACUCAAUGUACUCCUGUUUAUAGAACAUUGUAUCCUUCCUAUUUUAGAGUACAAUAUUCUAUUUCUGGUAGAUAAACCAUGAAAUUAAUAGGAGAUGAUCAAAUUAUAGAUCAUAUGUGUCAUUAAUAUUAGUGUUAUA
rnacentral:lncRNA from 1 species